GCUCUCUCCAGCUGGCACAGGACAGGCGCCGAGCAGCCGAGCACUUGCGCCGGGCCCUGCCGUACCUGCAGAGCCCACAGGAGACCCUGCAAGAGGCGGCCAUCAGGUUCAUCGGGAUGGCCGGGCGGCUCCUGAGGGGGCAGAAGGAAGAGCUGCAGGCCCUCACUGAGGCACUUCAAGCCCUGAGGAGAGAUGACAACCCUUCCCAUUCAAACACAGCACUUCAAGAGAUACUUAGUAAAAGAGCUGCAGAACUAUGCUCAUCUGCUGGCUCAGAAGAACCAGUGUUCAUUUAAGAUCUUCAGAUGCCAUGGAAGAUGAGAGUACAUUUAGACCAGAAGACACCAGCUAGAGGUCCAGGCACCGCUGAUGACUGGCACAGCUGAGCCUGUGGGAAGCUCGUGUAGCUUCAGCCCUCUCCCUCCCUUUUGACAGCUCCCUCCCUGCAGCCCUCAGA